GAGCCCUCCAGGGAAAGCCGCGGGGAGCAGGGGCCGUCCGGAGCAUCCAGCCCACGGGGGCGCUGGCGAUGCAGACGAGGACAGGAGCCAGUUCUCAGAGGAUCCGGUAACAGGCUCGCUUCCGUCAUUCUGAGAAAGUACCUGCCGAACGCCUGAGUCAAGAAACCACGCACAUCGUACGCGCGUGUAAACCACGCGUGGCCCAGCGACAAGGGCACCUUGCUCCCAGGAAUCGUCGCCUUCAUGCGCAGCCCACUUGUGUCCCACAGACAGGGCAAAAUGAGAAGCAACUUCUGAAUGACUGUGGUGGAAAUGGUUUUGACCACGUGGACCCCGGAAACCCACGGACCGAGCUUUGAGAA